rnacentral:lncRNA from 1 species
UGGUGGCUGACUAAAUACUUUUUUUCCCCCACUGUAUAAACAUCAAGCUGAAAAAUAAAACCAAAGUUUUUUCGGUAACACUUUACUUGAAGGGGUGUGCAUAAGACUGACAUGACACCUUCAUAAUCAUGACAUGACAUGUCAUGAAUAUGAAGGAGGUUUUAUGCAUGUUUAUGACGACUGUCAUUAAGUGUCAUUCGCUCAGUUAUGUCAUUUUUAAUGCAAGACGGAAAAUGGUAAGAGAGUAUGCUACACAUGUAAAAAAAUCUCAAAACAAAACUGAGUUAAAAGAUUCUGUUAUUAUAUUUCAUGCUAAUAUCUGUAACCUGUUUCUAAGGUGAAUUUAGCCGUCAACUGGAAGAGAAAGAAGCACUUGUUUCACAGUUAACUAGAGGAAAACAGGCUUUUACUCAGCAAAUUGAGGAUCUCAAAAGACAUGUUGAGGAAGAAGUCAAGGCCAAGAAUGCUCUGGCCCAUGCAGUUCAGUCUGCCCGCCAUGACUGUGAUUUGCUCAGAGAGCAGUAUGAGGAGGAGCAGGAGGCCAAAGCUGAACUCCAGCGUGGGAUGUCUAAGGCCAACAGUGAAGUGGCCCAGUGGAGAGCCAAAUAUAGUUAAACUCUGCGGACCCGGAUACGGGUCCAAAGUCACGUUAAAAAUGUGUAUGCUUCAUUUACAUAGCCUUCCUUAUAUGGUAUCAGCCCAUAUAUGGAUUCAUUUGAAAGCUUGGAGUGUCUUCUUUACAAAGAAUACCAUUCCUUUUGGUUUUUAUAUUCAUAAAGCAGUAAAAUUAAGCUUAGAAAUGUAUUCGUCCCACACACGAUUUUCCGCCUAGCCAUUGCAAGGCAAGGCAAGGCAAGGCAAGUUUAUUUGUAUAGCACAUUUCAUACACAAUGGUAAUUCAAAGUGCUUUACAUAAAAUGAAAUAAAAACAAUAAUCACAACAAUAAAACAAGGAAUUUAAAAACUUUGGGGAAAAAAAUAAAUAAAUAAAAAAAUUGAUUUAAGAGGUUUAAAAUGAAUUUAAGAAGACGA